ACUUUCCCAGCCUCUCGGAGCUUCACUCAUAAGUCUUUUUAAAGAAAGAGCUGCUUUCAUCUGUCCACGGGGAGCAAGAUAAUGAUUUAGCAAAGCAGAGUUUCCGUUUCCUGUCUCCACGCCAUCUUAAUGGCAGCACAGCUGGAACUCAUUCCACCAUCAGUCCAUGGAUAUCUUCUCCUGGGUUCCAGCCUGUAGCUGCCAGAUGGUCUCCUCCUGUUACCGAUUCUUCCCCAGUCCCUUCGUGUAGUUCCGGUUCAUAUUUUGGUUACGGCGCCUUCAGUUUCCCGUUAUUGUUCGUCUGUGUUUGUAUUAAUCGUCUUUAUAAAUUUCUUAAUUCAACAAUUACUUGCACCUGGAUCCACCCACAGCCAUGAAAAUAUAAGUGUUAUUAAAUUUGAUUUAUGUCCUCCUCAGGCUACUGUAGCUUUGAGGUCUGUAACUUCUGUGUGCGGUUCUGGAGCUUCAGUUUUCCUCAUAUUGUAUGUAAUAGGUAUUUUGAUUCAGGAGGAAAAAAAUAUUUUUGUGAUCCAGCCAAAACUUUUCAGCUAUCUUUGUAGCUUGAGAAGCUUAACAACCGAAAUUGAUAGAAAAAGCAGCCACUUGAUGAAGCGUAAAACAAUGUUUUUUGCCAGCAAUAUUGUUUUUUAAGUCGCAAAUUCCAGUUUUCAAGCAAUUAUUUCCCGUGCUGUGAGUACAUCAUGUUCACUAUGAUAUAGAACUUGUCAUUGAAGACACGCUGUCACAAGAUUCAUAUUUAUUAUGUUGUUAAAUUGCACUAAACUUGCUAUGAAAUCGCAAAUUACACUUUUUUAAUCUGUUCUCAAUGUAACUUGAAGUUUCAGAGUUUAAUUUGCGAUUAAUCGCGAGUAAAUAAAAAAUUAAAAAUGGUUUGAAAGCAUUUAAUCCCAAAGCUAAAUGCAUGGUGUGAUGUCAUCAGCAUGCGUCGGCUUCUGUGCCUGCACCAACAGCUCAAGUUUGUUUGAUCCAAGAUGAUCCAUGUCAACAAGAACAUCUCAGUUAUUCACUCUAACUUUAGACGUCUUUCAUUCUCAUCCGCCUGUUUUGGUUUUGUUGUCUUCGCCUCUUACUUCUGUUCAGUUCAUAUGUUGCGAAAAAAAAAAACCCAAAGCAUUUGCUGCUAUUUAUUUAGAUAAUUAUUUAUGCUUCAGGCGUAUCCUGAAUUUAACAAUGUUUCUGCGUUUACUCCUCGCUGUGGGUAAACAAUGUUGAGUUCAGGGGGUCAUUACAGCAAACAAACACAUUUUAAUGCAAUAAAAUCCUCGUAAAAUAAACCCUAAUUAAGCAGUGUUUUAUUUGCAACAUAUUCAUCGGCAGUUUGAUUUUUAGUUAAUAGGAUAGUUGGACAAACCGGGUGUCAACAACAGACAGGAAAUGAAACAUCUGUUCAAGAGUCGAUAAACACGGCCUGUAGACUGCUGUGAAGUUGGAGACCUGGGGUCGGAUGAGUUGUCUUCGGUGUUUCUGUCUGUUCUAUGAGAUCUUGUGGAUGUUUUUUGGGUUGCAUGCCGAUGCGUGUGCUUCUUUCUGUUGCAGUUUGCUGCAGGGAGGCAAACCAUCAGAGCGUAUCACUGCACUUCCCCGCUCAUUAUCAGGUGGAGAAGCAGAGGGGAGGAAAGCCGGCAGACGGAGUUGGUGACCAGGUAAAAUAAGGUGAACGGAAAGAUGAGUUGAUUUAGAAUGAGUGAGAGGAGACACAGCCGACUGGGUCUGGCUCAAAUGACCUGGAGAAGUGCUUCAGUCUGACUUGAGAUCAGACAAGAUUGAUGCUCAUGAUGAUGGAGGGAAUUGGAAGGAAAGCCUUCAGAGGCGUUG